GCGCAGCAGGCGAGAAACCUUUACAAUGCCUGAAGGGGUGAUAAGGGCAUCCUGAGUGCUCCAGCAUUGCUGGGGCUUUUCCGGAGUGUAAAAGCUCCGGGAAUAAGUGGUGGGUAAGACGGGUGCCAGCCAUUUACAUGUCUUACAAUUAAAACUCUAAGUUUCAAAGGCAUGUAAACUGGAAGCCGCGGCAAUACCCGCGCCACAAGUGGUGAUCACGGUUA
rnacentral:rRNA from 1 species